AGUUCUGUUGCAACUGUUCUAACUGUCAUUACUGGUGUACAGAGAAGAGCUUCACUGAGGAUCCCUUUCAGGAUGCUGUGACUCCCUUUACAAUUAUAUUUCUCACUGCCUUGGUAAAGGGUCUUUUGGACUCUUCUUGGAUGUAGUUUAGCGGUUCAGAUGCAGCUGAUCUUCAGCUCCAGCUCCAGUGGGCAUGUUACUCAGGUCUGGCCAAUCAGUAUGUUCCAUGCCCACAAUGAUUGGUUCAAGAAUGCACAUAUGACAGAGCCCUGGACAAUGAGAUUCCAUUUCAGGACUUAAUCUGGAACUGUUGUGCAGCUUUGCAGAAAUGCUGGAGGCUUCACAGAAAGAGAGACUAAGAAAGACUGAGGACUGUUAAGCAUGCCCUAUCCUAUUAUCAAACACUUCACUCCAGGGAGAUUAGGACACAGACGUAUACCGAGGGAAGGCCAAGUAAAAAGGAAGGAGAAGGCCAUCCACAAGCCAAGAAGAGGGGUUCCAAUGAAAUGAACCCUGCUGACACCUUGUUCUCAGACUUCCAGGCCCCAGAAUUGUGAGAAAAUAAAUUUUUGUUCAUUAAGUUA